rnacentral:rRNA from 1 species
GACGAACGCUGGCGGCGUGCUUAACACAUGCAAGUCGUACGGUAAGGCCCUUUCGGGGGUACACGAGUGGCGCACGGGUGAGUAACACGUGAGUAACCUGCCCACAACUUUGGGAUAACGCUAGGAAACUGGUGCUAAUACUGGAUAUGUGCUCCUGCUGCAUGGUGGGGGUUGGAAAGCUCCGGCGGUUGUGGAUGGACUCGCGGCCUAUCAGCUUGUUGGUGGGGUAGUGGCCUACCAAGGCGGCGACGGGUAGCCGGCCUGAGAGGGUGACCGGCCACAUUGAGACUGAGAUACGGCCCAGACUCCUACGGGGGGCAGAUGUGGGGAAGAUUGCACAAUGGGCGCAGGCCUGAUGCAGCAGCGCCGCGUGCGGGAUGACGGCCUUCGGGUUGUAAACCGCAUUCAGCAGAGACGAAGCUUUUUGUGACGGUACCUACAGAAGAAGCACCGGCUAACUACGUG